rnacentral:rRNA from 1 species
UACAGAGGGGGCAAGCGUUGUUCGGAAUUACUGGGCGUAAAGGGCGCGUAGGCGGCCUGCUAAGUCGAACGUGAAAUCCCCGGGCUCAACCCGGGAACUGCGUCCGAUACUGGCAGGCUUGAAUCCGGGAGAGGGAUGCGGAAUUCCAGGUGUAGCGGUGAAAUGCGUAGAGAUGUGGAGGAACACCGAUGGCGAAGGCAGCCCCCUGGGUCAACACUGACGCUCAUGCACGAAAGCGUGGGGAGCAAACAGG